rnacentral:rRNA from 3 species
ACGCCCGGCCCCAUUCCGAACCCGGAAGCUAAGCCCUCCAGCGCCGAUGGUACUGCACUCGACAGGGUGUGGGAGAGUAGGACACCGCCGAAC